GCUUGUCUCAAAGAUUAAGCCAUGCAUGUCUAAGUAUAAACUAUUUUAUACUGUGAAACUGCGAAUGGCUCAUUAAAUCAGUUAUAGUUUAUUUGAUGGUUCUUGCUACUUGGAUAACCGUAGUAAUUCUAGAGCUAAUACAUGCAUCAAACCCCGACUUCUGGAAGGGGUGUAUUUAUUAGAUGGAAACCAAUGCGGGGCAACCCGGAUUCUGGUGAUUCAUAAUAACUUUCGGAUCGAUCCUCGGAUCGAUGCAUCAUUCAAGUUUCUGCCCUAUCAGCUUUGGAUGGUAGGGUAUUGGCCUACCAUGGCUUUAACGGGUAACGGAGAAUUAGGGUUCGAUUCCGGAGAGGGAGCCUGAGAAAUGGCUACCACAUCCAAGGAAGGCAGCAGG
rnacentral:rRNA from 1 species